AUGCGUUGGCAUGAUGAGGGUCGUACAAAAGAUGGAUUGCUGCGAUGUCCAGCUGAUGGAGAGGCUUGGAAAGAUCUUGAUGCCAGAUAUCCUAAAUUCGCUGAGGAUCCCCGUAAUGCGCGGCUAGGCGUUGGGUCUGAUGGGUUUAAUCCUUUCCGACUCAUGAGUGCAAAACAUAGUACUUGGCCAGUGACGCUUAUUCCAAACAACCUACCACCUUGGAUCUGCAUGAAGCAAACAUCUCUAAUUUUAUCAAUGAUUAUUCCUGGACCAAGUUCCCCUGGCAAUGAUAUUGAUGUAUAUUUGCAGCCGUUGGUGGAUGAGCUGCAACAACUUUGGAAGGGUGUGGACACUUUUGAUUCAUGUACCCAGGAGAAAUUAUCUCUUCGAGCUGCACUAUUAUGGACUUUGAACGAUUUUCCAGCAUUAGCUUACCUCUAUGGGUGGAGCACGAGCGGUAAAUAUGCUUGCCUGUCUUGUGGUCCUUUUACAAGAUCAUAUUGGCUAAAGAAGAGUAAGAAAUUUUGUUAUAUGGGUCAUCGCCGAUGGCUAACACAGAAUCAUGUAUUUCGGAGACGAAAGAAGGAGUUUGAUAACACCGAAGAGAUGGAACUUGCACCUAUAACAAUGAGUGGUAGCUCAGCUUUGAGAAUGUUGCAGGGCAGAGUGUUUGUCUUAGGAAAAAAGGUUGUUGUGGCAAAGAAAGGGAAAGGGAAAAAGAAGGGCAAAGACAGUGAAAAAGGAAUUGAAGAUUACAAGGUGGUCUUCUUUAAAUGUGAUUGGUAUGAUGUUCAUCACAAAGCUGGUAUUAUAAGAGAUGAGUUUGGAUUCACUCAUGUGAACUUCUCCCGAAAAAUACAUACAGGGGAGAAGUUAGAGGAUGAACCUUUUGUAUUUUCUUCCCAAGUGGACCAGGUCUUCUAUAUCCAAAAUCUGAGAAGUGAGAAUUGGAAUACCAUGGUGAAAUUCAAACCUCGUGAUAUUUUUGACAUGGGUGGAGAACCAUCUUCAGAUGAAACAGAGUAG
rnacentral:rRNA from 1 species